AGAUAUGAUCCAGAGUACCACGGGACACGUGAAACCCUGUGGGAAGCAGGAGGGACCACCCUCCAAGGCUAAAUACUACCUAGUGACCGAUAGCGUAUAGUACCGUGAGGGAAAGGUGAAAAGAACCCCGGGAGGGGAGUGAAAUAGAACCUGAAACCCUGCACUUACAAGCUGUGGAAGCACAUUUCUUGUGUGACCGCGUACUUUUUGUAGAACGGGCCAACGAGUUACGUUAAGUAGCAAGGUUAAGCACUUAAGGUGUGGAGCCGUAGCGAAAGCGAGUUUUAACUGAGCGUUCAGUUACUUGACGUAGACCCGAAACCGGGCGACCUACCCAUGAGCAGGAUGAAGCGAAAGUAAAAUUUCGUGGAGGUCCGAACCCACGAGCGUUGAAAAGCUCGGGGAUGACUUGUGGGUAGCGGUGAAAUUCCAAUCGAGCCCGGAGAUAGCUGGUUCUCCCCGAAAUAGCUUUAGGGCUAGCCUCAAGGUGAGAGAUACGGAGGUAGAGCACUGAAUGUCCUAGGGGGUAUUGCACCUACCGAAGACUAUCAAACUCCGAAUGCCGUCAUCUUAUACUUGGGAGUCAGACUGUGGGUGAUAAGAUUCAUAGUCGAAAGGGCAACAGCCCAGAUCGUCAGCUAAGGUCCCUAAAUGUAAGUUAAGUGGUAAAGGAUGUGGGAUUGCACAGACAACCAGGAUGUUGGCUUAGAAGCAGCCACUCAUUCAAAGAGUGCGUAAUAGCUCACUGGUCGAGUGAUCCUGCGCCGAAGAUUUCCGGGGCUAAAACUUACUACCGAAGCUACGGCAUCAGUAAUGAUGGGUAGGGGAGCUUCCCAUACGGGUUGAAGCAUGACCGUAAGGACAUGUGGACAGUAUGGGAGUGAGAAUGUUGGCAUGAGUAGCGAGAUGUGGGUGAGAAUCCCACAGGCCGUAAACCCAAGGUUUCCAGGGGAAGGUUCGUCCGCCCUGGGUUAGUCGGGACCUAAGCUGAGGCCGAAAGGCGUAGGUGAUGGACAACAGGUUGAUAUUCCUGUACUACCGAUAACCGUUUGAGAGAGGGGAUGACACAGUAGGAUAAGCUAAGCACACUGUUGGUUAUGUGUGCCCAAGCAUUGAGGCAGUCAAAGUAGGCAAAUCCGCUUUGAUAAUGCUGGGAUGUGAUGGGGAGCGAAAUUUAGUAGCGAAGUAGCUGAUUUCACACUGUCAAGAAAAGUCUCUAUCGAGGUUAAAGGUACCCGUACCGCAAACCGACACAGGUGGGUGAGGAGAGUAUCCUAAGGCCAGCGAGAGAACUGUUGUUAAGGAACUCGGCAAAAUGACCCCGUAACUUAGGGAUAAGGGGUGCCACCAUCAGGUGGCCGCAGAGAAUAGGCCCAAGCGACUGUUUACCAAAAACAUAGGUUUCUGCUAAGUCGCAAGACGAUGUAUAGGAGCUGACGCCUGCCCGGUGCUGGAAGGUUAAGGGGAUCUGUUAGAGCAAUCGAAGCAGUGAACUUAAGCCCCAGUAAACGGCGGCCGUAACUAUAACGGUCCUAAGGUAGCGAAAUUCCUUGUCGGGUAAGUUCCGACCCGCACGAAAGGCGUAACGAUUUGGGCACUGUCUCAACAACAGACUCGGUGAAAUUGUAAUUCCGGUGAAGAUGCCGGAUACCUGCGACAGGACGGAAAGACCCCAUGGAGCUUUACUGUAGCUUGACAUUGGGUCUUGGUACUACAUGUACAGGAUAGGUGGGAGGCUUUGAAACCAGGACGCCAGUUUUGGCGGAGCCAUCCUUGGGAUACCACCCUUGUAGUACUGGGACUCUAACCAUAGGCCAUGAAUCUGGUCUUGGGACACUGUCAGGUGGGCAGUUUGACUGGGGCGGUCGCCUCCCAAAAGGUAACGGAGGCGCUCAAAGGUUCUCUCAGUACGGUCGGAAAUCGUACGUAGAGUGUAAAGGCAAAAGAGAGCUUGAUUGCAAGACAUACAGGUCGAGC
rnacentral:rRNA from 1 species